rnacentral:rRNA from 1 species
AGCGAACGCUGGCGGCAGGCUUAACACAUGCAAGUCGAACGGGCACUUCGGUGUCAGUGGCAGACGGGUGGGUAACGCGUGGGAACAUACCUCUUGGUUCGGAACAACACAGGGAAACUUGUGCUAAUACCGGAUAAGCCCUUACGGGGAAAGAUUUAUCGCCGAGAGAUUGGCCCGCGUCUGAUUAGCUAGUUGGUGUGGUAAAAGCGCACCAAGGCGACGAUCAGUAGCUGGUCNGAGAGGAUGAUCAGCCACAUUGGGACUGAGACACGGCCCAAACUCCUACGGGAGGCAGCAGUGGGGAAUAUUGGACAAUGGGCGCAAGCCUGAUCCAGCCAUGCCGCGUGAGUGAUGAAGGCCCUAGGGUUGUAAAGCUCUUUUGUACGGGAAGAUAAUGACGGUACCGCAAGAAUAAGCCCCGGCUAACUUCGUGCCAGCAGCCGCUGU